rnacentral:ncRNA from 1 species
GUUACUUGAGGGCAGAACGGGCGGCUGCCACGCCACUUUGACGUGGUCUUUCAAGAGAUGUAGGGUUGCCAACCUACCAAGUAAC